rnacentral:rRNA from 1 species
AGAGUUUGAUCAUGGCUCAGAUUGAACGCUGGCGGCAGGCCUAACACAUGCAAGUCGAACGGUAACAGGAAGCAGCUUGCUGCUUCGCUGACGAGUGGCGGACGGGUGAGUAAUGUCUGGGAAACUGCCUGAUGGAGGGGGAUAACUACUGGAAACGGUGGCUAAUACCGCAUAACGUCGCAAGACCAAAGAGGGGGACCUUCGGGCCUCUUGCCAUCAGAUGUGCCCAGAUGGGAUUAGCUAGUUGGUGAGGUAACGGCUCACCAAGGCGACGAUCCCUAGCUGG